rnacentral:rRNA from 1 species
GACGUAGGGUGCGAGCGUUGUCCGGAUUUAUUGGGCGUAAAGAGCUCGUAGGCGGCUUGUUACGUCGGCUGUGAAAACCCGCGGCUCAACCGCGGGCCUGCAGCCGAUACGGGCAGACUAGAGGUAUGCAGGGGAGAACGGAAUUCCUGGUGUAGCGGUGAAAUGCGCAGAUAUCGGGAGGAACACCGGUGGCGAAGGCGGUUCUCUGGGCCUUACCUGACGCUGAGGAGCGAAAGCGUGGGGAGCGAACAGG